rnacentral:rRNA from 1 species
UACGUAGGGUGCGAGCGUUGUCCGGAAUUAUUGGGCGUAAAGAGCUCGUAGGCGGUUUGUUGCGUCGGCCGUGAAAACCUGCAGCUUAACUGUGGGCCUGCGGCCGAUACGGGCAGACUUGAGUUCGGUAGGGGAGACUGGAAUUCCUGGUGUAGCGGUGAAAUGCGCAGAUAUCAGGAGGAACACCGGUGGCGAAAGCGACUUCCUGGACCAAUACUGACGCUCAUGUGCGAAAGCGUGGGGAGCAAACAGG